AGCCCUUCUCGAUCGGCACACUACUUAUCGUCGCGUAUUCGGCAUUUGGUAUUCGAGCAGAACGCUGCCUGCUAAAUCUCCCGUGCAACCUGCCACAACGCUGCAUCCGAAGAACACAGGACCUGCACUGGACACAACCAUCGCCGCCCCGCGGACCCGUCGUUCAAGAUGCCGUCGAAAAAGUGUGAAAUUAUCCGAGGAAUGGUUAUCAUCAAGCGUUAAGGACACUGACAAAAUCGGACAAAUACAUGGACUCGACCGGACCAGGAUCAGGAAAAAUAUCAUGGAUUGUUGAACGCGACGUGUACGACGCGGACACCGCGGCGAUGACUCGGCAACGGAAACCACGUCAUCAAAAUAUAAUUACUUUAAUAAUAAUUGUUAUUAUUAUUAUUGCGAACGAUUUUCUGCAAGUCGGCAGCGUCUUUCCCACUAAUAAUAUUAUUAUGUAGCCGCGCACAAUGAGCAAUAAAAAUUAAUACCACCGGUUCAAAUGGCUCUGUUAAAAUGUCCCGUUUACGAUGGCGUUAUCAGUGUUUAAACGGUUGUUAUUACGAGCCAUUUUGUACGAUACAUACAUAACAUAAUAUAAUAUCAUUACACAUACAUAUCACCACCGCGUAUAUAAUAGCUUGUGUGUGUGUUUUUAUUUCUAGACUUUAUUAUUUUCUUUACAUCGCACCGUUUAAGAUUAUUAUUACUAUUUUUUUUUUUUAUAUUUUUAUUAUUGGUUGUAUACACUUAUUAUUACUAUUAUUAUUAUUAUUAUUAUUAUAUUUACUACGGACAUAAAUCCCGCGUACAAUGAUUUCAAUACGACUAAUUUUUAUAUACUUUUUAUUGUAUUUUAAACGGACAGGUUUAUCGGUUUACUGCGUUUUUAUUUUUAUGUCUGUGUACAUAAUAUACGUAUUAAAACAUUAUAAUAAUAAUAUGUAUACGACGAGAAACAAUAUUCUACACACAUCGAAGUAUGAUAAAUAUUAUCACAACUAUGUUUAUUUAACUAUUUUAAUUGGACUAGAUAUAUUAUUAACAAAAUAUCGUAUUGAAUUAAAUCCUGUCGCUGAAUAGGAGUGUCGCUACGUAGCGCGUAGGUUUAAACUAUAAUAUAGCACCUUAGCCACUUACAAUUUAAAAUUAUAAAAACUACUUUAGGUCUGACUUGUAAACUUAUUAUUUAUAUUUAUAUAUAAUUUCUACUGUUUUUUUUUUUUGUCUAAUUAAUUGUCAUCAUUGUUUUCUUUAUUGCGCGUAAAUAUUUUUUUUAUAUUCAUCGUUUAUCAUUAGUUUUUAUAGCUCAUGCAUGGCUACUAUUCACAAACGAUUAAUUAUAUAUUUUUAUUACCUUAGUAUUUUUAAUACAAAUUAAAACCAUAUACAAUGCUAAUUAUCGUUCGU